ACGCGCCUAAAGCGGGCGAAGGGAGCGAAGGUGACUUGGCCGCCAUGUUAGGACUGCCGGGACGAGUCCGCGGAGCCGGCUGAGGUUUUAGGGAGCGCGGGAGCCGAGUUGUGGUGCAGAGGGGACGGGGAAAGUGCGAACGCAGUCCCCAACUACUACAAAUUAUGGGUUUCCCAUACUUGGGGAAAUCGCAGGAGUCAGCACAUCCGGAGUGCAAUGGAUAAGCCUCGCCCUGGGAAAACCACCUUCAUGAUCAUGGUAUCUCCCCUGCCAGCCACUGUGGAAAACAGUAUGGAGAUUCCUCAAAAGACUAGGAAUAGACUUAUCUUAUGACCCAGGAAUCCUACUCCUGGUCAUAUAUCCAGAAGGAACCCUACUUCAAAAAGACACCUGCACCCCAAUGUUCAUAGCAGCACUAUUUACAAUAGCCAAGACAUGGAAACAGCCUAAAUGUCCAUCAACAGAUGCCUGGAUAAAGAAGAGGUGGUCUAUUUAUACAAUGGAAUACUAUUCAGCCAUAAAAAUGACAACACAACAUUUGCAGGAACAUGGAUAUUCCUGGAGAAUGUCGUUCUAAGUGAAGUAAGCCAGAAAGAGAAAGAAAAAUACCAUAUGAGAUCGCUCAUAUGUGGAAUCUAAAAAAAAAAAGGAACAUAAAUAUAAAACAGAAAGAGACUCA